UGGGGAAUAUUGGACAAUGGGGGCAACCCUGAUCCAGCGAUGCCGCGUGUGUGAAGAAGGCCUUCGGGUUGUAAAGCACUUUAGGUGGGGAAGAAGAUGUGGUUUUUAAUAGAGAUCAUGUUUGACGGUACCCGCAGAAUAAGCACCGGCUAACUCUGUGCCAGCAGCCGCGGUAAUACAGAGGGUGCGAGCGUUAAUCGGAAUGACUGGGCGUAAAGGGCGCGUAGGCGGUUAGAUAAGUGAGAUGUGAAAUCCCUGGGCUUAACCUAGGAAUAGCAUUUUAGACUGUAAGACUAGAGGUCAGUAGAGGGCAGUGGAAUUUCCGGUGUAGCGGUGAAAUGCGUAGAGAUCGGAAGGAACACCAGUGGCGAAGGCGACUGCCUGGACUGAAUCUGACGCUGAGGCGCGAAAGCGUGGGUAGCAAACAGG
rnacentral:rRNA from 1 species